GACGAACCGUGCGAACGUUGUUCGGAUUCACUGGGCUUAAAGGGCGCGUAGGCGGGUCGGUCCGUCUGGGGUGAAAUCCUCUCGCUUAACGAGAGAACGGCCCUGGAUACCACCGAUCUCGAGGGAGGUAGGGGCAUGUGGAACUUCCGGUGGAGCGGUGAAAUGCGUAGAUAUCGGAAGGAACGCCGGUGGCGAAAGCGACGUGCUGGACCUUUUCUGACGCUGAGGCGCGAAAGCCAGGGGAGCAAACGGGAUUAGAUACCCCGGUAGUCCUGGCCCUAAACGAUGGGUACUAGCUGGCAGACUGACAUGGGUUUGCCAUCGAAGCUAAAGUGUUAAGUACCCCGCCUGGGGAGUAUGGUCGCAAGGCUGAA
rnacentral:rRNA from 1 species